UACGGGGGGGGCAAGCGUUGUUCGGAAUUACUGGGCGUAAAGGGCGCGUAGGCGGCCCAGCUAAGUCGAGUGUUAAAUCCCAGAGCUUAACUCUGGACAGUCGCUCGAUACUAGCGGGCUAGAGUGUGGAAGAGGGUGCUGGAAUUCCCGGUGUAGCGGUGAAAUGCGUAGAGAUCCGGAAGAACACCAGUGGCGGAAGGCGGUCUGCUGGGCAGUAGCUGACACUGAUGCGCGGACAGCAGUGGGGAGCAAACACGGAUUAGCAAACCCUGG
rnacentral:rRNA from 1 species